rnacentral:rRNA from 1 species
GACGAACGCUGGCGGCGUGCUUAACACAUGCAAGUCGAACGAAGAGCGAUGGAAGCUUGCUUCUAUCACUCUUAGUGGCGAACGGGUGAGUAACGCGUAAUCAACCUGCCCUUCAGAGGGGGACAACAGUUGGAAACGACUGCUAAUACCGCAUACGAUCUAAUCUCGGCAUCGAGGAUAGAUGAAAGGUGGCCUCUACAUGUAAGCUAUCACUGAAGGAGGGGAUUGCGUCUGAUUAGCUAGUUGGAGGGGUAACGGCCCACCAAGGCGAUGAUCAGUAGCCGGUCUGAGAGGAUGAACGGCCACAUUGGGACUGAGACACGGCCCAGACUCCUACGGGAGGCAGCAGUGGGGAAUCUUCCGCAAUGGACGAAAGUCUGACGGAGCAACGCCGCGUGAGUGAUGACGGCCUUCGGGUUGUAAAGCUCUGUUAAUCGGGACGAAAGACCUUCUUGCGAAUAGUGAGAAGGAUUGACGGUACCGGAAUAGAAAGCCACGGCUAACUACGUG